UCCUGGUUAACCCAGGCAGUCUCAUUAGAGUUCCCACCUUAAAUGUUGGCAACUAAUGAUAAGGGUUGCGCUCGUUGCGGGACUUAACCCAACACCUCACGGCACGAGCUGACGACAGCCAUGCAGCACCUGUUCAGAGGCCCCGAAGGGAGAUGCUAUUUCUAGCACUGUCCUCUGUAUGUCAAGUCUGGGUAAGGUUCUUCGCGUUGCAUCGAAUUAAACCACAUGCUCCACUGCUUGUGCGGGUCCCCGUCAAUUCUUUUGAGUUUCACCCUUGCGAGUGUACUCCCCAGGCGGUAUACUUAUCGCGUUAGCUACGGCACAGUCAGGGUUGAGUCCGACUACACCAAGUAUACAUCGUUUACGGCUAGGACUAC
rnacentral:misc_RNA from 1 species